AGUGAACGCUGGCGGUAGGCCUAACACAUGCAAGUCGAACGGCAGCACAGUAAGAGCUUGCUCUUACGGGUGGCGAGUGGCGGACGGGUGAGGAAUACAUCGGAAUCUACUUUUUCGUGGGGGAUAACGUAGGGAAACUUACGCUAAUACCGCAUACGACCUACGGGUGAAAGCAGGGGAUCUUCGGACCUUGCGCGAUUGAAUUAGCCGAUGUCGGAUUAGCUAGUUGGCGGGGUAAAGGCCCACCAAGGCGACGAUCCGUAGCUGGUCUGAGAGGAUGAUCAGCCACACUGGAACUGAGACACGGUCCAGACUCCUACGGGAGGCAGCAGUGGGGAAUAUUGGACAAUGGGCGCAAGCCUGAUCCAGCCAUACUGCGUGGGUGAAGAAGGCCUUCGGGUUGUAAAGCCCUUUUGUUGGGAAAGAAAAGCAGCAGGUUAAUACCCCGCUGUUCUGACGGUACCCAAAGAAUAAGCACCGGCUAACUUCGUG
rnacentral:rRNA from 1 species